CUCAGACAGACGAGCACAUCAACCUCACACAUAGAGUCCACAAAACAAGCUCAACAGCCCACUUUGAGCUGCCUCAGACAGACGAGCACAUCAACCUCACACAUAGAGUCCACNCAAGCUCAACAGCCCUCAUAGAUACCAUAUCGCCAAGCAAGCAAACGGUCGCACCAAGUGUGACUAUAUAUAUGAACAUGGAUUUUGACCACCCGUUCGUAUGAAAUGGUUUGGCCCCGACUAUUCCAUUUGUAGUCUUUGUCCAUUAAUUCAUUCAUCUGGUAGUCUUUGGGCUCCAAACACAGGACAACAAACAUAAUUAUUUUCUGUCCAUAGUUUUUUAACAUGAUUUAUUUCAGAACCACGGUUUUAUGAAGGCGAGAGUCUAGCCACUGGGAGGAGCAAGAAAGGCAAUAGAGUGAGCGAGAAGUAAAGCAAUGAUCUCAUGGAACAUAUGGAAAAACAGAGUUUUGGGGGUCUCUUGACCACCAAACACCACCCCAAAAAUAGCACGGGCCGCUGCCCUCCUAGAAUC
rnacentral:lncRNA from 1 species